UACGAAGGGGGCUAGCGUUGCUCGGAAUCACUGGGCGUAAAGCGCAUGUAGGCGGAUUGUUAAGUCAGGGGUGAAAUCCUGGAGCUCAACUCCAGAACUGCCUUUGAUACUGGCGAUCUUGAGUCCGGGAGAGGUGAGUGGAACUGCGAGUGUAGAGGUGAAAUUCGUAGAUAUUCGCAAGAACACCAGUGGCGAAGGCGGCUCACUGGCCCGGUACUGACGCUGAGGUGCGAAAGCGUGGGGAGCAAACAGGG
rnacentral:rRNA from 1 species